UUUGCUCCUGUUUGCCACUUGGGGCAUUGGUGGUUAUGGCUGAUAAAUACAACAACGCGGAAAUGUCAUAUACUUGACCCGCUACACAAAAAAGCUCCAAGCGAUGAGAGAAAGCAGGUUAAUAAAUUCACUGGAUAUGUAUUUUCAAGAUUGAUAACAUAUGCCGGCGGGGAACCUCUGCAGAAAGGGGAGAACGAGAAGAAAAUUAAAUCAUCAUAUGUUAAAAUAUCAGGCCAAAAAACAAGCUAUGACUGCGCUAUCUACGUUAUGAAGUGGAUGGAGUUAAUUGAGCCGG